AACGAACGCUGGCGGCAGGCUUAACACAUGCAAGUCGAACGCCCCGCAAGGGGAGUGGCCGACGGGUGAGUAACGCGUGGGAACAUACCCUUUUCUACGGAAUAGCUCUGGGAAACUGGAAUUAAUACCGUAUACGCCCUACGGGGGAAAGAUUUAUCGGGGAAGGAUUGGCCCGCGUUGGAUUAGCUAGUUGGUGGGGUAAAGGCCUACCAAGGCGACGAUCCAUAGCUGGUCUGAGAGGAUGAUCAGCCACAUUGGGACUGAGACACGGCCCAAACUCCUACGGGAGGCAGCAGGGGGGAAUAUUGGACAAUGGGCGCAAGCCUGAUCCAGCCAUGCCGCGUGAGUGAUGAAGGCCUUAGGGUUGUAAAGCUCUUUCACCGAUGAAGAUAAUGACGGUAGUCGGAGAAGAAGCCCCGGCUAACUUCGUG
rnacentral:rRNA from 1 species